rnacentral:rRNA from 1 species
UGCCAGCCGCCGCGGUAAUACAGAGGGCCCGAGCGUUAAUCGGAAUCACUGGGCUUAAAGAGUGCGUAGGCGGACAUGUAGGUAUUUUGUGAAAUCCCUCGGCUCAACCGGGGAAUUGCUUGAUAAACCACAUGUCUUGAGGCAGGUAGGGGUGGUCGGAACGCUAGGUGGAGCGGUGAAAUGCGUAGAUAUCUAGCGGAACGCCAAAGGAGAAGUCAGGCCACUGGGCCUGUCCUGACGCUGAGGCACGAAAGCUAAGGUAGCAAACGGGAUUAGAUA